GACGAACGCUGGCGGCGUGCUUAACACAUGCAAGUCGAACGAUGAAGCUGGAGCUUGCUCCGGUGGAUUAGUGGCGAACGGGUGAGUAACACGUGAGCAAUCUGCCCUUGACUCUAGGAUAACUGCGGGAAACUGUAGCUAAUACCGGAUACGAGAUUUGGAGGCAUCUCCGGAUCUGGAAAGAAUUUCGGUCAAGGAUGAGCUCGCGGCCUAUCAGCUUGUUGGUGAGGUAAUGGCUCACCAAGGCGACGACGGGUAGCCGGCCUGGGAGGGUGAACGGCCACACUGGGACUGAGACACGGCCCAGACUCCUACGGGAGGCAGCAGUGGGGAAUAUUGCACAAUGGGCGAAAGCCUGAUGCAGCAACGCCGCGUGAGGGAUGAAGGCCUUCGGGUUGUAAACCUCUUUUAGUUGGGAAGAAGCGAAAGUGACGAUACCUACAGAAAAAGCACCGGCUAACUACGUGCCAGCCGCCGCAGUAA
rnacentral:rRNA from 1 species